GAUGAACGCUGGCGGCGUGCCUAAUACAUGCAAGUCGAGCGAACAGACGAGGAGCUUGCUCCUCUGACGUUAGCGGCGGACGGGUGAGUAACACGUGGAUAACCUACCUAUAAGACUGGGAUAACUUCGGGAAACCGGAGCUAAUACCGGAUAAUAUAUUGAACCGCAUGGUUCAAUAGUGAAAGACGGUUUUGCUGUCACUUAAAGAUGGCUCCGCGCCGCAUUAGCUAGUUGGUAAGGUAACGGCUUACCAAGGCAACGAUGCGUAGCCGACCUGAGAGGGUGAUCGGCCACACUGGAACUGAGACACGGUCCAGACUCCUACGGGAGGCAGCAGUAGGGAAUCUUCCGCAAUGGGCGAAAGCCUGACGGAGCAACGCCGCGUGAGUGAUGAAGGUCUUCGGAUCGUAAAACUCUGUUAUUAGGGAAGAACAAAUGUGUAAGUAACUAUGCACGUCUUGACGGUACCUAAUCAGAAAGCCACGGCUAACUACGUG
rnacentral:rRNA from 1 species